rnacentral:rRNA from 1 species
CGAACAAAGGGAAGCGAGACUGUAAAGUGGAGCGAAACCCAGAAAAGUACUCUCAGUUCAGAUUGUGGGCUGCAACCCGCCCACAUGAAGUUGGAGUUGCUAGUAAUCGCGGAUCAGCAUGCCGCGGUGAAUACGUUCCCGGGCCUUGUACACACCGCCCGUCACACCAUGGGAGUUGGGAGCGCCCGAAGCCGGUGAGGUAACCGAGAGGAGCCAGCCGUCGAAGGUGAGACCAAUGACUGGGGGUGAAGUCGUAACAAGGUAAC